rnacentral:rRNA from 1 species
AUUGAACGCUGGCGGCAGGCCUAACACAUGCAAGUCGAGCGGCAGCGGGACCUUCGGGUUGCCGGCGAGCGGCGGACGGGUGAGUAAUGCCUAGGAAUCUGCCUGUUAGUGGGGGAUAACGCGGGGAAACUCGCGCUAAUACCGCAUACGUCCUACGGGAGAAAGCGGGGGCUCUUCGGACCUCGCGCUAACAGAUGAGCCUAGGUCGGAUUAGCUAGUUGGUGGGGUAAUGGCCAACCAAGGCGACGAUCCGUAACUGGUCUGGGAGGAUGAUCAGUCAAACGGGAACUGAGACCCGGUCAAGACUCAUCCGGAAGGCAGCAGGGGGAAAUAUUGGAAAAUGGGCGAAAGCCUAAUCCAGCCAUGCCGCGUGUGUGAAGAAGGUCUUCGGAUUGUAAAGCACUUUAAGUCGGGAGGAAGGACUGUAGGCUAAUACCUUGCAGUUUUGACGUUACCGACAGAAUAAGCACCGGCUAACUUCGUGCCAGCCGCCGCCGUAA